GGGGGCGACCGGUUUCGACGGGGGUAUGCGAAGCAUAGGGCGCAUGCAGUGGGUCCGCAACCACUUCAAAAUGCGGAACUUUCACAAUUGCCAAUAACGAACUGGCACUCGCCGCUUAAAUAAGCGACGCGUCCUUCCUGGAGGAGGCCCGCGACCCGGGAAGGACGACGAUCAGCGGGCUGGCACAACGCGACUUCUCUCUGUCGUUGUGCGAGAUCUAGAGAGAUAGCGCUUGAAGGGGCCUGGCCGAUGGCAUCUCGUAGCGCGAAACUCCAAAUAGCCGGCCUAAGCAUGUAGUGGCCUGUGUGUAGCGCUUCCGGACGGGGGUUCGAUUCCCCCCGCCUCCACCA
rnacentral:tmRNA from 1 species